rnacentral:rRNA from 1 species
GACGAACGCUGGCGGCGUGCUUAACACAUGCAAGUCGAACGAAAAGAGGGAAAGAGCCUGCUCUUUCCGGAAUUGAGUAGCAAACGGGUGAGUAACACGUAAACAACCUGCCUUCAGGAUGGGGACAACAGACGGAAACGACUGCUAAUACCGAAUAAGUUCCAAGAGCCGCAUGGCCCAUGGAAGAAAAGGUGGCCUCUACCUGUAAGCUAUCGCCUGAAGAGGGGUUUGCGUCUGAUUAGCUGGUUGGAGGGGUAACGGCCCACCAAGGCGACGAUCAGUAGCCGGUCUGAGAGGAUGAACGGCCACACUGGAACUGAGACACGGUCCAGACUCCUACGGGAGGCAGCAGUGGGGAAUCUUCCGCAAUGGGCGAAAGCCUGACGGAGCAACGCCGCGUGAGUGAUGACGGCCUUCGGGUUGUAAAACUCUGUGAUCCGGGACGAAAAGGCAGAGUGCGAAGAACAAACUGCAUUGACGGUACCGGAAAAGCAAGCCACGGCUAACUACGUG